rnacentral:rRNA from 1 species
UACGGAGGGUGCAAGCGUUAUCCGGAUUUACUGGGUUUAAAGGGUGUGUAGGCGGACUACUAAGUCAGCGGUGAAAUCUCCGGGCUCAACCCGGAAACUGCCAUUGAUACUAUUAGUCUUGAAUGUUGUUGAGGUGGGCGGAACGGGUCAUGUAGCGGUGAAAUGCAUAGAUAUGACCCGGAACACCGAUUGCGAAGGCAGCCCACUAAGCAACGAUUGACGCUGAGGCACGAAAGCGUGGGGAUCAAACAGGAGU